rnacentral:rRNA from 1 species
ANCUUUGGAGAGAGAGUNUAAAAGCACGUGAAACCGUUGAAAGGGAAACGCGCUCGGCUAGCAAUGUGUCUAGACGGUUCAGCCGGUUCGAGGNUGGAGGUCGUUGCUGUCGGAUCCGAACGGACCGCGGUGGUGGUCGUCCGCUUUCGAACUNGCGGUGCACUCUGUUUAGACACGCGUCAGCGUCGGUUCGCAGUUCAGGCGAUAAGGCACGGAGGGAAGGUAGCUUCGAGCUUGCUCGAAGCAUUAUAGCCACCUNGUGCUGGGUCUGGUGCGGACCGAGGAGAGAGAGGAUCGCNUGCAGCGCAUGCCGCAAGGCUAGCUGCCCGUUGCUCGGUGUGCUUCACAGGCUGUAGACUGCACNCAGUGUUCGGCUUGGCGGAGUGGCCANGUGGUGNAGCAGUAUAAAUUGCCCUUAGGACGCUGGCGUCCAAAUGGCC